AUUGAACGCUGGCGGCAGGCCUAACACAUGCAAGUCGAACGAGUGGCGGACGGGUGAGUAAUGUCUGGGAAACUGCCUGAUGGAGGGGGAUAACUACUGGAAAAGGUAGCUAAUACCGCAUACCAUCGGAUGUGCACAGAUGGGCUUAGCUAGUGGGUGGGGUAACGGCUCACCUAGGCGACGAUCCCUAGCUGGUCUGAGAGGAUGACCAGCCACACUGGAACUGAGACACGGUCCAGACGCCUACGGGAGGCAGCACUGGGGAAUAUUGCACAAUGGGCGCAAGCCGGAUGCAGCCAUGCCGCGUGUAUGAAGAAGGCCUUCGGGUUGUAAAGUACUUUCAGCGAGGAGGCGUUACCCGCAGAAGAAGCACCGGCUAACGCCGUGCCAGCAGCCGCGGUAAGUC
rnacentral:rRNA from 1 species